UCCGGUUUGGCACCGGCAGUCUCUCUAGAGUCCCCGCCAUGACGCGCUGGCAACUAGAGACAGGGGUUGCGCUCGUUGCGGGACUUAACCCAACAUCUCACGACACGAGCUGACGACAGCCGUGCAGCACCUGUGCAGGCUCCCGAAGGAGCACCGGCUUUCACCGGCUUCACCCUGCAUGUCAAGUCCUGGUAAGGUUCUUCGCGUUGCGUCGAAUUAAGCCACAUGCUCCGCCGCUUGUGCGGGUCCCCGUCAAUUCCUUUGAGUUUUAAUCUUGCGACCGUACACCCCAGGCGGAAUGCUUAAUCCGUUAGGUGUGACACCGAAGGGCAAGCCCCCCGACGUCUGGCAUUCAUCGUUUACGGCGUGGACUAC
rnacentral:misc_RNA from 1 species